rnacentral:misc_RNA from 1 species
CUCAGGCGGCUUCUAUAGAAGUGGAUGCACUAGUGAUCCUACUCUUCUAUAGGAACUGCCUAUUUUUAUGUUCUGUUAUCUGCUUUGUAUUACCACGUUUUCAAAAAAGAAACGUGAAGGUUUUUAGGAGGAUUAAUUCAUGGAAAAUGGAGUAGUAAAAUGGUUUAACGCUGAAAAAGGAUACGGUUUCAUUCAGCAAGAAGAAGGAAACGACGUAUUUGUACACUAUUCAGCAAUUCAAGAAGAAGGCUUUAAAACCCUUGAAGAAGGCCAAGAAGUUUCUUUUGAUAUCGUUGAAGGUGAACGUGGACCACAAGCAGCUAAUGUUGUUAAAAAAUAACUAGAAACAAAAUUAUAUAAAGCGGUAAUCUGUUUUGCCAGAUUACCGCUUUUUU